ensembl:snoRNA SNORD115 Small nucleolar RNA SNORD115
GGAUGCCAUUCUAUGAUGACAAACCAAUGAAAUGAAGAGAGGGGAUGACAUAAAAUUCAUGAUCACUGGGGUUCCACUGAGGCCC